rnacentral:rRNA from 1 species
CCUACGGGAGGCAGCAGUAAGGAAUAUUGCUCAAUGGCCGAAAGGCUGAAGCAGCAACGCCGCGUGGAGGAUGAAAUACUUUUGUAUGUAAACUCCUGUAAGAGGGGAAAAAUAUCUCAUUAUUUGGGAUUGAUUGUACCCUCAGAGUAAGCACCGGCUAACUACGUGCCAGCAGCCGCGGUAAUACGUAGGGUGCUAGAGUUGUCCGGAUUUACUGGGUGUAAAGGGUGCUCAGGUGGAUUUGUAAGUCAGAGGUGAAAUCCCAAAGCUUAACUUUGGUGCUGCCUUUGAUACUGCAAGUCUAGAGUUUGAGAGAGGGCAAUGGAAUAUCUGGUGUAGCAGUGAAAUGCGUAGAUAUCAGAUAGAACACCAAUGGCGAAGGCAGUUGCCUGGCUCAAAACUGACGCUAAAGCACGAAAGUGUGGGGAGCAAACAGGAUUAGAUACCCUGGUAGUCCACACCCUAAACGAUGAAUACUAGAUGUUGGUUCUUUUUAGGAUCAGUAUCCAAGCUAACGCAUUAAGUAUUCCACCUGGGAAGUACAAUCGCAAGGUUGAAACUCAAAGGAAUUGACGGA